rnacentral:lncRNA from 1 species
AACUAGAGAUGGCUGAAGAGAGAAUUAAUCAGUUUGGUAAGGUACAGCUGAGAAAAUCAGAAGGGAUAGCACAUGCAGAUAGAGAGAUGGAAAAUCUUGAAGAAGUUAAUAGGCAUCAGGUCAGGAUAAGAUGGGCCAACUUCUACUCCCAUUCAGUAGAAGUUCUUAGCAACAGAAACAGAGAAUGCAGACCACAAGGCUCAGGGCUGCACAGGUGUAUGGAGUCACAGGUGUAUGGAUGCACAGGUGAUGGAUGCACAGGUGUGUCGAUGCACAGGUCUAUGGAGGGACAGGUAUAUGGAGUCACAGGUCUAUGGAGUCACAGGUGUAUGGAGGCACAGGUGUAUGGAGUCACAGGCAUACGAAUGCACAGGUGUAUUAUUGCACCGGUGUCUGGAGACACAAGUGUAUGGAUGCACAGGUUUCAUGACUAGUACUGAUAAGAGUUUUCUUUGUAUUUAAAGAAACCAAGUGAUGUCCUUCAGGGCACAGGCAGCAUGCGUUAACUGCUCUAGAUCAUCAUUUUCCCUGAGCCCCGUCCAGCGCAGAGCUCUGAGGGGUGUCCUCAGUGCCCAUAGCACACAAGGGGGUGGUGCUCCCCAAGCUGCUGCCACCCCUGGGUCCCUAAUCUGCCUCCGUGUCCCACCACUGCCUGGAAGGUGGUCCAAUUCCCCAGUAGACCCUGGGUUAGCACAACCUGGAUGCAGAGGUGGAGACAUUCCAAGUGGAGAUAUUCCCCGGAAACAAGGAGGGUGCCUCCCAGAUCCCCACCUGUGGGAUCUGCACAAAGGGCUUGGUCUGGGGUCAGAGCCAGCCACUGGUCUGGCACCUGAUGCCACUAGGUACUCAUGUUC